rnacentral:rRNA from 1 species
AAUGAGCGCUGGCGGUAUGCCUAACACAUGCAAGUCGAACGGCAGCACCGUAAGAGCUUGCUCUUACGGGUGGCGCGUGGCGGACGGGUGAGGUAUACAUCGAAAUCUACUUUUUCGUGGGGGAUAACGUAGGGAAACUUACGCUAAUACCGCAUACGACCUACGGGUGAGAGCAGGGGAUCUUCGGACCUUGCGCGAUUGAAUGAGCCGAUGUUGGAUUAGCUAGUUGGCGGGGUAUAGGCCCACCAAGGCGACGAUCCGUAGCCGGUCUGAGAGGAUGAUCAGCCACACUGGAACGGAGACGCGGACCAGCCCCCUACGGGAGGCACCAGUGGGGAACAUAGGACAAGGGGCGGAAGCGUGAACCAGCCAUACCGCGUGGGUGAAGAAGGCCUUCGGGUUGUAAAGCCCUUUUGUUGGGAAAUAAUAGAAGCAGGUUAACACCGCGCUGUUCGGACGGUACCCAAAGAAUAAGCACCGGCUACUUCCGU